UACAGAGGUCUCAAGCGUUGUUCGGAUUCAUUGGGCGUAAAGCGCACGUAGGCGGAUUGUUAAGUCAGGGGUGAAAUCCUGGAGCUCAACUCCAGAACUGCCUUUGAUACUGAGGAUCUUGAGUUCGGGAGAGGUGAGUGGAACUGCGAGUGUAGAGGUGAAAUUCGUAGAUAUUCGCAAGAACACCAGUGGCGAAGGCGGCUCACUGGCCCGAUACUGACGCUGAGGCACGAAAGCGUGGGGAGCAAACAGGG
rnacentral:rRNA from 1 species